rnacentral:misc_RNA from 1 species
UACACCUCUCAAGCUCUGCUUGGUCAUGGGCUUCUCCGUCCCUCACGGGACCGGCCCCAAAAUUAGUGGCGGUGCAGUCCGACUUCAAGCGCAGUAAUUUUCAUUCGCUUUGGAAGCCUCGGGUUGGAUCGGCCAGACAACCACCCAAUCUUCAAUCAAAGGUUGACCUCGGAUCAGGUAGGGAUACCCGCUGAACUUAA